AUCGCUUCUCUGCCUUUUGGCUAAGAUCAAGUGUGGUAUCUGUUCUCAUCAGUUUAAUAUCUGAUAUGUCCUCUAUCAUGGGAUAUCAUAUUAAAUGGAUUUUUAGCAAUGGGAGUUGAAAAAUGGGUUUGCUCCAUUCACUCCGCGCAUCGACUCGGUAUUGCAGCGCCGCCGGGAACGAUGCACCCUUC
rnacentral:snRNA from 1 species